UUCAAAAUGUAUCUUGUAAUUAUUACUGGUUGGCAGUUGCCCUGUAAAGUGGUUGUAGUUUUUGUCAGUUUAUUAGGUGAGAUAGGCUACAACUGCCUGGUUCCAAAUCCAUUUAUGAAUUACCAGGGUCAAUGCGGCGUAUUCUUAACCCUCGCUGGUGACGAAGCUUCGGUACACGGGCCCCAGAGCUGGUCUCAACAUGGCGGCAAAAAGAAACUGUUCUCCGGGUAAGCAAUGAAACCACUGUCGUCGAGCCCCACUGACCCAAUCAGUGAACGCACCCACGAUAGCAGUCUACGCUUGAGAAGUGCAUCACUCUUCAUUUGUCUCAAGGACGAGAAAUGGCGCGAUCGCUAUUGGCGUUCCAGUAUGUAAAGAGAAUGAACCGGAGUAGGAGGUAUUGUUUAACACGUUUGGAAGUGUUAUAAAGUUUUUGUGUGGAAUUUAUUAGUUUAGAGUGUAAUGCAGGACGUCAUUUUUGUCUACAACGCAAAGUGAUAGUGAAACGUUAUCAGUGAACUUUCAGAUUAACAUCUUGUUGCUGAUGGUAAGAAUCGUCCGAGUCUCCAUAGUAAGGAAUCCACUGUUGUUAGGACGGUAUAAUGAGUUCAAGAAAUGCUGUGUUCUGUUUUUGGAAAACACGAGGAUGCGUUUAAUUUACUUUAUUUAUAAAGACGAUAUGAAAGGACAUAGAACGAACAGACUGAGUGUUUCUUCGCAGUUUUACAGGCAGCACAGGUACGAGACAAUCGGUGAGCACAAAAUAUUUACUACUUUUCUCAAUGUAGGUCAGUGCUUCUCAACCUUUUGGUGCUCGCUGAUAUCAGUUUAUUCAUACGGCGCACUAGAAUUAGAAUAUAGAACUGAAAUUGAUAUAAGAGUACACCUAUUUUUAGAAAUCGUUUUUAUUUAGCUUGGUCCCACUCGUAAUAGGUUUUUCUUAUAACAAACGUGCCCAAUUUUAGAGGCACGCUAGUAAUAAUUAUUUUGUUCAAUGGAGAGCACAUCGUAUGUUUAGACUGAGCAACACGGAACCAUGCGUUCACAAACGUAAAUAUUUACUUUAGUGGCAAACUCUGUCAACAAAAAGUCAGUACGAAUUUAUGUUGAGUGGGGUGAAUUGCCUUUGUCUUAGUUUCUUUCUUGUAUGUAGGUCUAAAUGAAACAUUUCACAUAUGAUAAUACUUGGUGGUACACUUCAAUUGCAAUAUCAGCCCGUUCAAAAUCAAAGUAGACACAUUAUAUAUAUAUGCCAAAUAUUAUGCUUGCUGAAGGCAGCAAUAUUGCUGAAAAGUGGUAAACAAAGUUUUCCUUCAAAUGUGGCUUAAAAAACUAAUUAACUAAUCACUAAAAUACCAUCUUAAGGAUAAUAAUGUGGUAUUAAUAAUUAUUUGGUUUUUUAACUUGCAUACUUAAUUUUAAUUCUAAAGCCCAAAGCAUUGUUGCACACCGAUUGAGGAUCAAUGCCGUAAACGUAUUACAAAUCAUUACAAUACAGCAACCGAAAAAGAUAAAUUAGUCAAUUUUAGUAACUAACGUAGGAUACAUGGGGGAACUAUCAACAUUAGCCCGUUUUGUGUAAAUCUCGAUCCUCCUACAAACGGCAACAGCUGGUUCGUGUCAUCUAUCAGUACUAUUAUAAGAUGUUGACAUUUCUGCGGUGCAGCUCCGUUCUAAACGUGUCGUGUUUUUAUCUGUUAUGUUUUUUGUC